AUUGAACGCUGGCGGCAGGCCUAACACAUGCAAGUCGAGCGAGCGGCGGACGGGUGAGUAAUGUAUGGGGACUGCCCGAUAGAGGGGGAUAACUACGGGAAACGGUGGCUAAUACCGCAUACUAUCGGAUAACCCAUAUGGGAUUAGCUAGUUGGUGAGGUAACGGCUCACCAAGGCCACGAUGCAUAGCCGACCUGAGAGGGUGAUCAGCCACACUGGGACUUGGAAACGGCCCAGACUCCUACGGAGGGAGCAGUGGGGAAUAUUGCACAAUGGGCUCAAGCCUGAUUCAGCCAUGCCGCGUGUAUGAAGAAGGCCUUAGGGUUGUAAAGUACUUUCAGCGGGGAGGCGUUACCCGCAGAAGAAGCACCGGCUAACUCCGUGCCAGCAGCCGCGGUAAUUC
rnacentral:rRNA from 1 species